rnacentral:rRNA from 1 species
AUUGAACGCUGGCGGCAGGCCUAACACAUGCAAGUCGAACGAGUUGCGGACGGGUGAGUAAUGUCUGGGAAACUGCCCGAUGGAGGGGGAUAACUACUGUAAACGGUAGCUAAUAACGCAUACCAUCGGAUGUGCCCAGAUGGGAUUAGAUAGUAGGUGGGGUAACGGCUCACCUAGGCGACGAUCCCUAGCUUGUCUGAGAGGAUGACAAGCAACACUGGACCUGAGACACGUUCCAGAGUCCUCCGGGAGGCAGAAGUGGGGAAUAUUGCACAAUGGGCGCAAGCCUGAUGCAGCCAUUCCGCGUGUAUGAAGAAGGCCUUCGGGUUGUAAAGUACUUUCAGCGAGGAGGCGUUACUCGCAGAAGAAGCACCGGCUAACUCCGUGCCAGCAGCCGCGGUAAUUC